GCCGGGAACUCAAAGGAGACUGCCAGUGAUAAACUGGAGGAAGGUGGGGAUGACGUCAAGUCAUCAUGGCCCUUACGACCAGGGCUACACACGUGCUACAAUGGCGCAUACAAAGAGAAGCGACCUCGCGAGAGCAAGCGGACCUCAUAAAGUGCGUCGUAGUCCGGAUUGGAGUCUGCAACUCGACUCCAUGAAGUCGGAAUCGCUAGUAAUCGUGGAUCAGAAUGCCACGGUGAAUACGUUCCCGGGCCUUGUACACACCGCCCGUCACACCAUGGGAGUGGGUUGCAAAAGAAGUAGGUAGCUUAACCUUCGGGAGGGCGCUUACCACUUUGUGAUUCAUGACUGGGGUGAAGUCGUAACAAGGUAACCGUAGGGGAACCUGC
rnacentral:rRNA from 2 species